AUUGGCAUAAUAAAAUCUGAUUAGUUGAUUUAAUUACAUAACCUUAUACCAUAUACACAUCAAUUUUUAAGACAAUACGAUUCCAAUUCCCAAAUACACUCCUGUUCUGUGUUAUCGGAGUGCUUCGUUUUGAGGGAAGAUAUCGAUGGUUGCCGGAGACGAAGAAACGAGAGUGGCGGGUUCAGUCUCCGAGCUCUAAGCGACGAUGGUAAAGCACAGAACGCUCUCAGCGGCAAGUUGCAGAGAUAUCUGAAGUGAAGAUUCCCAGCUCGUAUUGCAGACAGAUUUGUAUUCGACUUACGUGCUCACUGAAGAGUAUUGAUUGGAGGACCUAGAGGCUAGAGUAAAAGGUGAACUAAAUUGGAAUAAUGAGCAGUAGUCGCAGCAUCUUGAGGAGCAUGUUGGUGGCAGCGGUCAUAAGAGGUGCGACAAAGGCGAGGAUGAGGAUAUUCGGUCACGUUCUGAACCCAACAAUCCAAAGACCACCUCACAAGGUUCUCCAUGAGAAGCUCAUUGGCGAGAAGUUGCUCAGUGGUUCCCUCAUGAGAUCAAGAAGGAAGACCCCCUUUUAAUUUCCCGUCAAGAACAAGAACCAUAUGAUGAUGAGAAAAAGUAUUGAGGCAGAUGCUAGAAGCCUUUUCCACAGUUUGAAGAAAGCAAAGGACAAAGGAUGGGACGUGAUUGAAGUCUGGAGUGAUUUAGAGAUUUUGGAUAACCUAGUUGUGAAUGCCAACAUCAGUCUGUGGCCUUGGACCUCAUUCCCAUCAUUUUCUUAUUCUAUGUUAAUAGUUUCACGACUACAAAAGAACUAUCUUGCGUAGUAGAAUCGUCUUGGAAGAGGGGUGAAGCUAUCUGGCAAGAGCGAGCAAAACUGAAAAGAGAGAGCGCUUGAGAGCUAUCAUUGUCAUAUUAGAAGUUGCUGCUCCUUCUCUUUUGAACUAUCAUGGAGCUGGGCUGACUUGUUUCUCAAGGGACUCCACAAGCUCCAAAUGCUUGUCAAUCUGUUUCUCAAGAGUUUCUAUUUUGUCUGCUUUCUUUAGUAGCUUUGCCUGUGAUUCUCUUGAAUAUCUUGGUCUCAGAUUCUAAUGUUGAAAUUUUCAGCAAUAAAUCUUGCUGCAAAGUCCAAUAAAAUGGAUUUAGAAAAGAAGAGUAA